rnacentral:lncRNA from 1 species
CCUACGGGAGCCGGACCUCAUCCCCGCAGCUUCAACUGCAGGCAGACUUCGUCCGGACUCCUACGGGAGACGGACUCCACCCGCGGUCUCAAUUGCAGGUAAACUUCGUCCGGACUCCUACGGGAGCUGGACUUCACCCUCAACUGCAAUUGCAGGUAGACUCCGUCCGGACUCCUACGGGAGCCAAACUUUGCCCACGACCCCAAUUGCAGGUAGACUCCGUCCGGACUCCUACGGGAGCCGGGUCUCGUCCCUAACUCCGGCUGCAAGAAGACUUCAUCCGGACUCUUACGGGAGCCAGACUCCGAGCUCCUCUCAGACGGGCGGCUAGCCACCUCUCCCCGCCAGACACUCCAGCCGAACUUCGGCCGACAGGCCUAGGCCCCCUGGCAGGCCGCAGUGACGGCCACGACACUGCUCCACCUCCUGC